GACCAACGCUGGCGGCAUGCCUAACACAUGCAAGUCGAACGGACAGAACAGGGAAGCUUUUCGGAGUGGAACUGGAAAGUUAGUGGCGGAUGGGUGAGUAACGCGUGGACAACCUACCUUGUAAAGGGGAAUAACCUCGAGAAAUCGAAGCUAAUACCCCAUAAUAACCUUGCUUCGCAUGAAGUAAGGAGGAAAGGCGGCCUUAGCGCUGUCGAUACAAGAUGGGUCCGCGUCUGAUUAGCUAGUUGGUGAGGUAAAGGCUCACCAAGGCGACGAUCAGUAGCCGGCCUGAGAGGGUGAACGGCCACAUUGGGACUGAGACACGGCCCAAACUCCUACGGGAGGCAGCAGUGGGGAAUCCUCCGCAAUGGGCGAAAGCCUGACGGAGCAAUGCCGCGUGAGUGAAGAAGGCCUUCGGGUUGUAAAACUCUGUCCUUAUCGAAGAGAGAGUGUUGUAGUAACUGACAAUACUAGGACGGUAGAUGAGGAGGAAGCCCCGGCUAACUAUGUG
rnacentral:rRNA from 1 species